GACGAACGCUGGCGGCGUGCUUAACACAUGCAAGUCGAACGGAAAGGCCCUGCUUUUGUGGGGUGCUCGAGUGGCGAACGGGUGAGUAACACGUGAGUAACCUGCCCUUCACUUUGGGAUAACCUUAGGAAACUGGGGCUAAUACCGGAUAGGAGCUUCUGUUGCAUGGUGGGGGUUGGAAAGUUUCGGCGGUUGGGGAUGGACUCGCGCUUUAUGAGUUUGUUGGUGGGGUAGUGGUUUACCAAGGCUUUGACGGGUCGCCGGCCUGAGAGUGUGCCCGGCCAUUGUGAGACUGAGAUAGGGCCCAGACUCAUGCGGGGGGGAACAGGGGAAAAUAUUACACAGUGGGCGGGAGCCAGGUGCAGCAGCGCCGCGUGCGGGGUGACGGCCUUCGGGUUAUAAACCGCUUUCGCCUGUGACGGAGCGUCAGUGACGGUAAUGGGUAAAGAAGCACCGGCUAACUACGUG
rnacentral:rRNA from 1 species